rnacentral:rRNA from 1 species
UACGUAGGGAGCAAGCGUUGUUCGGAUUUACUGGGCGUAAAGGGCGCGUAGGCGGCGCGACAAGUCACUUGUGAAAUCUCCGGGCUUAACUCGGAACGGUCAAGUGAAACUGUCAUGCUAGAGUGCAGAAGGGGCAAUCGGAAUUCUUGGUGUAGCGGUGAAAUGCGUAGAUAUCAAGAGGAACACCUGAGGCGAAGGCGGCUUGCUGGGCCUGAUCUGACGCUGAGGCGCGAAAGCGUGGGGAGCAAACAGG